GAGAAAGCGGCACAAAAACGCGGCGGUGGCCGCAUCCAAAGAGGCCGAUGACGGCCCCGGCAACGAGCAGGUGCCUUCGGAGACAACGACUAAGCGAAGGCGCACGUCUGCCUUGAUAUCGGCAGCUAGUAGGGCAAUGCGCCUCGUUCGAUG
rnacentral:snRNA from 13 species